rnacentral:rRNA from 1 species
UACGUAGGGUGCGAGCGUUGUCCGGAAUUAUUGGGCGUAAAGAGCUCGUAGGCGGUUUGUCGCGUCUAUCGUGAAAACUAGCAGCUUAACUGUUGGCGUGCGGUGGAUACGGGCAGACUUGAGUUCGGUAGGGGGAGACUGGAAUUCCUGGUGUAGCGGUGAAAUGCGCAGAUAUCAGGAGGAACACCGGUGGCGAAGGCGGGUCUCUGGGCAGUAACUGACGCUGAGGAGCGAAAGCGUGGGGAGCGAACAGG